UUGCCAAAGUUCGAGGUCCAUGAGCUG
rnacentral:misc_RNA from 1 species